UAGCUAGUUGGUGGGGUGAGGGCCUACCAAGGCGACGAUCGGUAGCUGGUCUGAGAGGAUGACCAGCCACACUGGAACUGAGACACGGUCCAGACUCCUACGGGAGGCAGCAGUGGGGAAUAUUGGACAAUGGGGGGAACCCUGAUCCAGCAAUGCCGCGUGUGUGAAGAAGGCCUGAGGGUUGUAAAGCACUUUCAGUGGGGAGGAGGGUUGAUAGGUUAAGAGCUAAUUAACUGGACGUUACCCACAGAAGAAGCACCGGCUAACUCCGUGCCAGCAGCCGCGGUAAUACGGAGGGUGCGAGCGUUAAUCGGAAUUACUGGGCGUAAAGCGUGCGUAGGUGGUUGAUUAAGUUAUCUGUGAAAUCCCUGGGCUUAACCUGGGCAGGUCAGAUGAUACUGGUUGACUCGAGUAUGGGAGAGGGUAGUGGAAUUUCCGGUGUAGCGGUGAAAUGCGUAGAGAUCGGAAGGAACACCAGUGGCGAAGGCGGCUACCUGGCCUAAUACUGACACUGAGGCACGAAAGCGUGGGGAGCAAACAGGAUUAGAUACCCUGGUAGUCCACGCUGUAAACGAUGUCAACUAGCUGUUGGUUAUAUGAAAAUAAUUAGUGGCGC
rnacentral:rRNA from 1 species